rnacentral:rRNA from 1 species
AUGUUGCUCUUCUUCGAUGUCCUCGGAUGGAGCAUCAAUGUACUGGCUGCCACAUCUUCCUCUGGUACAUGGGAGCCUGUUACUUCUUAUGCGAGACACCCUGACUUUCCAUGGCAGGACACAAUUGAAUAUAGCAGCCCCGCUAUCUGCCAUGGUGGUAUCAUCCACUGGCUAGUGUACUGUAGUGACCAAAUCCUCCCAUAUGAUGUGAGCACGAGGGUGCCCCAGACGGGUGAAGCUCCCUCCCACCAGUCGCUGUCUUAA